AUUGAACGCUGGCGGCGUGCCUAACACAUGCAAGUCGAGCGGUAACGCGGGGGGCAACCCUGGCGACGAGCGGCGGACGGGUGAGUAAUGCUUGGGAAUCUACCCAGUAGUGGGGAAUAGCCGGUCGAAAGAUUGGCUAAUUCCGCAUACGCCCCCUCUUCAUACCGAGGAGAAGGGAAAGCGGGGGACCGUAAGGCCUCGCGCUAUCGGAUGAGCCCAAGUCGGAUUAGCUAGUUGGUAGGGAACGGCCUACCAAGGCGACAAUCCGUAGCUGGUCUGAGAGGACGACCAGCCACACUGGGACUGAGACACGGCCCAGACUCCUACGGGAGGCAGCAGUGGGGAAUAUUGGACAAUGGGGGCAACCCUGAUCCAGCGACGCCGCGUGUGUGAAGAAGGCCUGCGGGUUGUAAAGCACUUUUAGUGGGGAUG
rnacentral:rRNA from 1 species